rnacentral:tRNA from 1 species
GGGUCUGUAGCUCAGGGGUUAGAGCGCACGCCUGAUAAGCGUGAGGUCGGAGGUUCAAUUCUUCCCAGACCCACCA